CAGGUACAAUGACACUGUUAAUUUGAAAAUAAAUCUAACUUGUUUGUUGAAAAUUGUGUUGUAGACAUUAAUACCUCCUUGUUGAAACCGAGUGAUUUAGAGUUAAGAACCAGUAACAUGCAAGAAACUUCUAGUAAUAAUUUCUCUCAUGGAACAACUUGUAUGUUACAUGCCAAAUUAUUAUUUUUCUGCUUUGUUAAAAAAAAAAAAAAGGAAGAGUAACUUCCCUCAAGAGAUAAAACUGGUUUUUAUUUGCUUGAAGUGACAGGUGAAGAGAAGCAAAAAGACACUCAUGGUAAUGCUAGAAAUAGAAUCCAGGUCGUGCAGUACAUUGAACCCUUCUCUAACGUGUGUGUACUACUUUUACAAAAACUGGGAAGUUGGUGGGAAUAGCAACAGUGUAAUGAAAGCAAAAUUGGCCUUCUUUGCCUCAUACUGGGAAUUUGCCUACUUGCCAAGAACCCAGUGUUUUCAAGGACAUUUAGCUCCUACAUCAAGGACUUCUAUGAAAGUCUAAACAGGUUAAAUCAGCAUGAAGGAAAAAGGAGUGAUGUGAUGUCACUGAUCUGUAAGCAGAUCUCAGCCUCAGAACUAAUAUUAUGGUUUAAGGCUUUUUACAUGAGAUGAAAAGACACAUUCCUGAGACUUGAGCCUGUAAUUUCAGGCACCCUGUGCAGCCAUUCAGGCCCAUGUGAAGUGAGUGGGUAUAAAAUGCUGUUAAAUCACCUACUGCAAACCAGGCCCCUAGAGCUGAGCAUUGCAAUGGUACUAUGUGGUCGACUUUAUAAUAAUAGAAGGCUACUGAAGAGCCAGUGGUACCAUGAGAUAGACACUGGCUACAUUUUCAAAGAGGAAAUGGAUGAAUACUCUCUUUUUUUUUGGCAUUAAGUGGCGACUACAUGUACAUUUACAUAUCUGCACCUAUUAGUUCUUUUUUUCCUAAGGCAAGCCAGGUAUAUCUCUAGACAAAUCCAAUCCACUUUUGAACAAGUCCACAGGAUCCUGAGCUUGUGCCAAUUAAGUUUUAUUCCUCUCUUUUCAGUCCUACUAGUAGAAAUUAGAAGUUAGCAGACUUGCCACUUGGAAAGAGACUGCAGAAUCAAUUUCCCUUAUCUCUGCAUUGCCCUGGGGACUGAAUGUAGCUUAUAACCUCUAUAAACUUUACUUUCUUAAGAUUUGCUUAUCGUUUAUAUAUAAAGGCUGGAUUUUUCCCCCUAGAUUGGUUUCCCUGUCCCUGUGUCAGCCAAUACUCCUUGAAAAUGUAAACAUGAACUUUAGUCUACAGCUGAGUGUUGGGAACCACAUGCUAAGUAGAUUUAUUGUCACAAGCCAACGUCUUUAACAAAUCAUUUUUCUUUUUGACAGUGAUGCAAAUACGGGUGGGUGAGUGAAAUGUGCCCUCCUGUCCCCUUGCUGGUUGACAGCAGAAGUUACUGCAGGGGUAUUUCCAGUGUUUCAGCUAAUGAGGCUGAGGGUUGCGAUGGAUGCGUGGAGUGCAGAGUAGCUCUUAUUUUAGCAAGUUAUCAAUGAUUUCCAUCCUGUGCAAGUAAUUAAGUCUGAGUAUUUUUGGAGACAGUUUGAUCUGUCUCUGAUUGGGGGAUUUGAGUCACUGUGGGGAUCAGAACAGGGGAAGCAGGACAUAAUAAAAAUAAUAGCAAGAGGCAAAAAGGUCAAGUGAUGAAUGAAAACAGUUCAUGGUGAUUUUUAAACUCAGAAACAAGUGGCUUUUUCAUGCUGUUUUUUGUUGUAAUGUAUUUUAAUCUGUAGACACAUUCUCACUUUGUGACUCCUUAGCAGAAAGAGCUUUAAGCAGCAGCAGCAGCAGCUCACUGGUAUGAAAGACAAAUCUGAGUGAGAAACGUGGCUCCCUGAGGAGGAGAAAACCCUUCAUCCAGGUAAUGUCCCAUUGAAUUAAUAUGUGUUUUGGGAAGGAAGAAAUUUGUAGAGGUAAAAAUAAGGAAAAAAACUUCAGCAUUUCUACCUUUCACUGAUCCCUGUGGUACCCCAGCAUGUGUGACCAGGUGCUGACAUAGAGUAGAAACCCAGGAAAAGCUGGGAGAAAUUUUCCUAGGGUUUCAGAGCAGAGCCAAGUCCAGCUGGACUGGUACCUCAGACAAAUUAAGGAGAAAAGGUAAAACUCAGGAGAUCCUCACAUGUUGCAUUAAUUUUUCAAACAUCCAUGUCCUGGUUUUUAGGGGUAAACUGCAACUACAGCUCCCAGUAAAGCUCAGAGGAUGAGAGCUGAGGUGCUUAUUCAGCAGAAGAGCUUCAGUAGAAGGCCAAGUAUUUUGUGAUAACAUGACAGACAAACACAAGGAAGUGUCUUUCAUGCAGAAAGCAUUUAUAUGCCUAUAAUAGAGGUAUUUCCAGCUCCUUCAGUAUUUUUCAUUACAUUACCAGAGCUGCUGUGUGGAAACUGCCUGCAACAAUGAGGGCUUUGUCUAGGAAUCCCACCCCCUCAGCUUCCAGGUUCAGCUAACAGGGAUUUCUUACCAAUAGAGAGCUCAAAGGAAAUUCAUCUGAAUAACCAGAGGUAGAGUGAGCCCUGAAAAAUUGAAAUACUAAGCAUCAAAAUUAGUCCAUAAGGGAAAAGUCAUACAAACUGUUUCUUUAUCAGAUGGAAAAGCUGUUGACAGAAAUAUGUGCCUGGCAAGUCAGAGAUUUUGGAAAACUGGGAAUCUGCACAUUGUGGACUUUGAUGUAAGCAUAGAAUUCAUUUGAAGAGAUCCAAAGGUUAUUCGAGGGUUUGUUAAAAUCAGAUGAGUAAAUAUACAUUAAGUAUUAAUCUUGUGAGUAAAACCAGUAUGUUGAAAGACUUACAGAAGCAUUGAAAAAAUUUGCAUUGUGGCCAAAAUUGGGUUGUCAAAUUAAUGAAAUCCCUUUUACACAUGUAAUCAACCAAAAAUAACUAACCUGCAGUAUUACAUUAAAAAAGAAAACUUCAAGAGCCUCACACACUUAAACUUUCUAACAUUUACAUUUGCAUUGUUAAAAGGGGAGUGUGAAAAUUAUUGUGAACAUGAGCAAAGUUCUGAAAAAGGCCAAGAAUGAUUCAUUGACUUGUCUCCAAACCAGUGAGAUUCAUAGGAAAUUACUGAAAUAUUUUGAGGACGAGGCAAGAGCUUGUUUCAGCCAUCCUCAGAGGUAACAUCACCACAGAAAGGAGGUAGAUAUCGAGAGGGAAGGAAGCAUGAGUAUAUCAGCAUUUUUGCCCUUUUCUCCCUGUGACAUUCCCACAAUUAACACAGCACAGUUCAUUAGAUCCUGAAAGGAUUGCUAGACACUGUCCUGAGCAGUGUCUCCCUGCAGCCCUAUUAGAUUAGAUAUGCUCAGCCAAUUAAAUAAUCAGCCUCCAGUUUUGUGGAAACCACAAAUAAAAUCCAGAUACAAGGCACAAGGAUGCUCUUGAGUUGCAGGAACUGAAAGAGCCCUGUCACAUACUGAGUUGUUAAACCUGACUGGACAUCCCAUGAAGAAAAAUAAGCAAGAAAUUUUGUGUUCCAAGGCACAAAACUUGCUUGUUCCCAUGUGAGUUCCCUGCUUAUAUUCCUUUACUUUGCCCAUCUUUUUUCUUUUCCCUCUGCUGCCAUCCCCACGCAAUGCAGCAGUAAUUAUCAGUAGCUCUUACUGAGGCAUCUGGACCCAGUUCAGCAGCAACAGAAUAUGAUUCAAACGAUGGUAAUUCUAUGGAGCACUCCUGCAAGGCUCUGAUCAGUGCAUCCUGUUUGUAGCUGUUUAAUAGAAAUAUCCUCUCGUGUCUAUUUAAAAUCAGAAGUGAUUUUUUAAUACUGGCCCAAAAUUGUGAAGAUUUGUGAAUACUAUUGAUUUAUUCAGCUGCUGAAUUGAAAUAGAAAUGGGAGAGGUAAUGAGAAUGAAUGUGAGCAGCAUUGUGCACAAAAACAAUUGACAGUUCAAGAGAAACAGACCCAACCAGAGCAUAAACACAGCCUUAAAUGUUAUUAAAAUAUUAAACCAGUACAUUGGGUCAUCCAUGCCAUUUGAUUACUUCAACAUUUGCAACCACAUGGGACAAGGACUUGACAUGAAGGAUGGAGUGGCUUUUGCACAAUGGACUAUGCAAAUUGAAAAAUUGGCCAAGUGCAUGACAGACAAUUUGCCUUCCUUUGAAGCAUCUUGUGUUUGCCAAGCAGAGGGGACAGUAUUGGACUUGAUGGAUCAUGGGCUUAAUGAAGCAUGGCAGAUCCUAUGUUUCUAUUAAAACUGACUGGCAGAGGGCAUUGUUCCAGACACAAAUUUGGGAUUGAAAAUAAAUGUAUAUAUUCUUCUGAGCCUUGCCUAUAUAAAAAAAUUACAAGCUGCAUUAUUUUUGUUA